rnacentral:lncRNA from 1 species
AAAAAAAGGAAUUUUUUAAAAUAAAAGUUAAGAGAAAGGACAAGAGAAAAUAUUUAAUUGAGAUGGAGAUAGUAUGGUAUAAUCAACCAUGAGGGUUGGGAACGAGGAUUAGAUUUCGAAGUUUGUGGAUUGAGUUAGGGUUAGAAGGAUGAAGAAAAAAAAGGUUUGGAUUUAGAAUUUGUGGAAAGACGAUAAAUUUUUGGAUGAGAAAUCGGUCCAGAUAGGUUUGAUUUGAUGAUUUUUAAAUGAAGGUUGAAGAUGAGAUUCAUAAGGAAAUGGAGUUAUGAGUUUGAUAUUCUGGAUUUGUUGUUUGUUGGUUGAAAGAAGUUAUUAAGAAGGAUGAAUUUGUUUGUAAUUUUGGUUGAAGGUCUUCGAAUGUCCUGGGUUUGGGAUGAAGAUUCAGAAAGAUGUUCUUAGCAUAUGAAUUUCUAGGUUUGUUUUUGUGGUUUCUUGAAGAGGUGAAGUUUUGGGUUUGAUUUUUUGAAUUUGUUGGUUGUGGAUGGAAGGAAUUUGUUAGGAAAGAUGAAUGUGUUUGAAAUUUUAGUUGAAAUUUUUGAUUUAGUUGAGGUUGUGGAUAAAGGUUCAGAAAGAUCUGUUUGAAGAUAUGAGUGUCUGGGUUCGUUUGAAUUUUUUGAGCUAUUCUUGAAUUUUGGUGGUUGUUCUUGAGGUUUAUGAGAACUAAGAUGAAUAUGGAUGAAUUUUUGAAAAUGAUAUAUGAAUGUAGGGUGAGAGGAUUUGAAGGUAAAAAUAGAGAAAAAAAAGGGAAGAGAGAGAAAUGAAAUAUGAAAUAAUGAGAUAGGAUAAGAAUGAAUAUGAGUUUAGAUGUGAAAGGAUAAGAGUGAAAUCUUGGAGAACCAGUAAGGAGAUGAUACGAGAAUGGAGACAUGAAUGAAUGAUAGUUGACAGAAGAGAAUCCUGAGCAACAAAUGGGAAUGGAGAUUUGUUGAUUGUGAUGUUGUUGUCAUUGAUGUCUCAAAAAUUAAUAAAUAUUUGUCAAAUUAAAAUUAAAAUUUAAAAGUAUUUUAUAAUUGACAUAUUUAUUAUUUGUUAAUAAAGAAGAUGUAGUAAUUUAUUUAAAAUAAACUUGAAGUUAUUAAAUUUAUUAUUUAAUUUUGGAAGUUAUUAAAUUUAUUAUUUAAUUUUGGAAGUUAGUAAAUAAAAAAUAUAAAGUGGAACUUUGGUAGUAUUUUUAUAAUUAAAAUUAAAUUAAUUCAAAUACGGUGGUUACAAUUAUGAUUACAAAUUUAUGUUCAUAAAAUUAGAUGAUAAUAUUUUUUAAUAUUUUAAAAAUCUUAUAUAUUUGUUAAAUAUUUUAUUAUAAAAUAGAUGCAGAAUAUUGGUUUAUUAUGUAUAUCUUUAUUCAAAAGAUAAGAAAAAAAUAUUUUCAAAAUAUUCUAUUUUGAAGUUUAUAAUCUAUAAUUCACUAAUGACAAAAAAAAACUUCAUUAUCUUAUAAUAUUAACAAUAUAUUAGAAUUUUAUAGAAAACCUUAAAAUUACAAAUAUUGUAACACAUUAAAACCUAAUCAAUUGUAUUAAACUUUAAAUUUAUGCUAAGAUGUUACUUUAUUUUUUAAUCUAUAUCUUUUGAUUUUAAUUAAAAAAUAAAUUUAAUUGAUAUACACCGUUAAUAUAAAAGAAUUUUACACAGUCAAUAAAUUAUAACCGUUGAAUAUUGAGACAAGUUUGAUUUUUAUUUUUAAAAUUUAUAAAAUAAUACAAACGGAUGAUGAUGAUGAAUUGAUAGUGUAAAAUUUUUUACACUAACAUUGCAUAUUAAUUAAUCUCUUAAAAAAUUUACCAUUAAAUCAAUAAAUACAUGAAUGGAUGGAGCAAAAAUUUAUAAUAAAGUGAUAGUUACUCUGAGUCAAAUAUAAUAAAAUUUUAAUAAUUUUUUUAUCGUGGAAAUGAUAUCAAACUGGAAAAAAUUAUGGAUCUAAAUAUCAAAAAAUGAAAAUUUAUGGACUGUUUUUUUAAAUAUCAUCAAAUAUCAUAAGACUCAUUCACUGUGGUAGUAAAUAAUUUCUUUAAAGACUAAUAAAUUUUGAUUUCAGUUAAUGCUUCUAUGAUUAAUAUUUUUUAGUUUUAACAAUUUUUGUUGCAUAUUAUUUAUUGUAGUUUAAAUCAAUUUAUUGUUCUUUAAUAUUUUAUAAUAAGAUUUCAGUUAUUUAUUGUUACAUACUAUUUAUAGCCAAAUAUUAUAAAUGAUAGUAAUUUAUUAUUUAUAAUAAUAUGAUUUCACUUAUUUAUUGUUACAUACUAUUUAUUUUUUAAUUUGAUUUCAGUUUAUAUGAUUUAAAUUUUUAAUAAACGGUAUUAUUUUUAUAAAGAAAAAAUAAUAUAUUAUUGAUACAAAUACUUUUAUAAAUUAGAAAAUGUGUAGUGUUGAUAAAAUAUUUUUAUGAACAAAAAAUAUAUAUAGUUGAUAUAAAUACUUUAAUAAACGAAAAAAAGUUUAAUGUUUAUUAUAAAUAGAAAAAAAAAAGUAUAUUAUUGAUAUAAAUACUUUUAUAAACAACAAUUUUUUAUAUACGGUUCAUCUAAAUUUUUUAUGAAUGGUAUUAAAAUAAAAAUAACUUUUAUAUAUGUAAAAAAUAUAUUGUUGAUUCAAAUAUUUUAAUACACAAUGUUUCUUUUAUAAAAGAGAAAAAAUUUAUUAUCAAUUCAAAUAUUUUUAUAAAUAAUAUUAAAACAAAAUAACGUUUAUAUAUGAAAAAAGUCUACUGUUAAUCCAAAAAAUGUUAAUUUUCCACGUAAAAUUUUCUAAUACAACUUUAAUAAAACAAAACCUUUUAAUAUUGAUCAGUUUUAUGAGAAAAAACACAUUCAUCUAUUCCACAACAAAAACAACAACUUCCGCAUAGAAAGUGUUACAUAAGUACUCUCCAACACUUAAUGCUCCUAUUCAAACACAAUUUUAAAAAUUUGUUCAUUGAACUGACGAUGAAAAGUUGAAAACAUAUAUAAAAAAAAUGCUUUGUUGAGUUUCUUUUCUCCUUCAACUUGAAUCAAAGUCCAAGUACAUUCUAUAAGCAUUUCUAUCCGAAGAGUAGUAACUUUCAACCAAACAAUCAACUUGGAAACCAUGCUUCUUGUACAGAUUCAGUGCAGGGGUUCUCAACGGAUCCACGUGAAGCAUUAUACAGGAAACUUUUCUUGUCCUGCAUUUUUCGAUUGCCGCUUUCAAUAGAACCUCUCCGUGUCCUUGCCUCCUCCAUUGCUCUUUCACUAAAAGAAAACCAAAACAUCUCAUUGGCUCAAUCCAAGCAUUUUUCAUUAGUAAAGAAAACAAUUUGAAAUACCAAAACACUCUUAGGCAAUUUUUCAAACAGCUUAUAGGCAUAAACUGAUAGCAUACAAAAGAUGAAACUUUAAAUGAAACUAUUAGUUUAUGACCUUGGAUCAAUGUGAUAAACAUGAAGUAAAAAGGUGGGGUUGGAACCUGCGAGUUUGGUGAUAGAAGCAUAUAACGAGGAAGGCCAGGAAUACAUGACAUAGCCUGCAAGUUCGCCAUCCACGUGAAGAUAGAGCAAUCCACUGUUCUUCUUUUUCAAUUCAUUUUCAAAGAAGGAAGCGAGUGAUUCGUGUUUUGGAAAGAUCUUUCUCUCCAAUUUCACUAUCUCUGCCACAACCUUACCACAAUUUUUGUCAAGUUCGCUAAUCGCCACAUUAGCCAUGACUCGCGAGUAAGUUAAAAUAAAUCUUCUGGUUCUAUUUCUCUACACACCAGAAUGUUUUAGAGGAUAUUAAUAUUGAAUUAUAGUUAAAAGAACUCAUUUUUCUUUUAUUUGUAAAAUUCAAUUAAAAACUUCUAUAAGUAAAAUAUUUUUUUAUUUUUCAAAUGACAACCGUUACUAUCAUAAUAGAUAAUGUAAUCUACUUUUUUUAAUAUAUGAAAGUUCAUACCCGCCAUUUUUACAUCUAAAUCCAAAUUAAAUUUGAUUAAACAUCUAUUUUUAUUCCCUUACAUGUAAUUUCAAUCCUAAUCUUUUAACAUAACAUCCUGAAUAAUAUACAUUUACAAAAUAUAUUAUACGCAAGGUUAAUUGUUAUUGAUAUAACAUAAGAGUCUAUCAACCUUCAUUAUAUAUACAUGCCCAAACAAAAAUAUACAACUAUACAUGAUAUACAAGAGUGCUUAACCAAAAACUAACAUAUAUAUACAAUAUCCACAUUGCACAUAAUCCACAGUGAAGGAUUACGAUAACGAAAGUCUUCGAAACAUCAUCAGACAAUCUUGUACUUGUUUUUAACCUGCAAAGAAUCGUCGGAAAAACAACAACAAUAAUGGGGUGAGAUGAUAAUCUCAGUGAGUUCCCAUAUCCUAUGAGUCAACGCUGUAACAUCCUGAGUUCAAUCAUUUGAUUUAAUCAAAUUGUUUAAGAUUUUAUUCAAAUUAAUUGUCCCGCUAAAUUGUUUAUGAUGUAGUGGUAGGGCAAGUGUCAUUGAAAUAGAGGUAUAGGGAGAGUAUGAGUCGGGCACUGGUGUUUAGAAUUAUUAGAGUUUUAAUGAAUUUUAAAAUAAUAUUUAUAUUUAUUUUAUAAUUAAAAUAAUGAGGAAAAUUAGAUGUGUAGAAGAAGUGGGGGCAUGGUUGGGAAUAAGGAAGAUAUGGAGGAUAGAAUGGGGAAUACAAUGGUAAGAUGGGGGUAUUAUAGGAAGAGACCAUUUUGAAAGGAAAUAAGUCUUGAAAACAAAUAGAGAAUUGAGAACCUAGAGAGUCAUAACGUGUUUUUCGGAGUUAGAUCAAAAGAGGAAAAAAGGAAGAGCAAAGGCUUAAGAUUGAAGAACUCAAGGAAAUCAAAGGUUUUUUUGGAUGGAAAUCAGGUAAGGGGGAGAUGUGCUUAUUUAAAGGAUGUUAGAACAUGUGGGGUAGAUGGAGGAACCCUUAACUUCCUUAGGAUUGGGUAUUGUAGAUCUAAAUUCUGAUGUCGUGUUAUCACUUUUGAUUGUAUGAUGAAUUAGGGUGAAAUUUGUGUAUUAUAUGGAUGUAUAUGAUGUUUUGAUGUGGUUGGUCAUGAUAUGCCAUUGAUUGAUGUUUUGAAGGUUUUUAACCUUGAUUGUGUUCUUGAUAAUUUAAAGAUGAUGAUGAUGAGAAAACUAGGUAAGGAAGUUGGAUAUGCAAGGGGAAGGUAUUAACACUCAUUACAUUCGUUAUACUCAACGACAACCGUUUUGAUUGUUCUUGCUUGAAUGGAUGGUAUUCUAAGGUUACUCGCGAAAGCAUAAGGGGAAAAGAAAAAGAAUAGAUAAAGUGCUCAAAGAAGAUUAUGGCUCUCAUGCCUACGUAUCCUUAUAGUGCAAUAAGGAAUUCAUAGCUUUGUAGUUCAUAGAACUAAUGGUGGGAGGUGAAAAGAGAAUGAUAACAAAUAUGGUUUGAACCAAAGGAUAUUGUGGUUUGACUCCAAAAAGGGAAGAAAUCCGAGCCCAAGAGUAAAAUUGGCAUUAACCAAUAUGUAAGUAGCCUGAAGCAUUCUCCACUAUAUGGUACGGCCGAAAACAAAUAGAAUUAAAUGUUUGGUUUCAUAGACAAACAACUCUUGGCUCACAAGCAGACAUAAGAUGAAGCUCAAAGAAAUGGUGUAUUUGACUCAAAGAUAAUAGUAUAUCACAUGAAGUGAAUGAAUGUAAAAUUAUGAAUGCAUCAUGGAAAUGAAUGGAGGAAUAGAGGAAGAAUGAAUAAAUAUGUUCGCAGAGGAUUCAGACCCUCGUGCCUACGUAUUCUUAUCGUGCAAUUAUAAAGUCAGAGCUUCAUAGUUCGUGGAACUAAUGCGGCAUAAGGAAACGAUUGAUUGGAUUACUCAGAGGCAAAGCAAAUUGCUUAACAAGUAAGAGUGUGGCAUUAACCUAAUGGUGGUAAUCAACCAUAGUGACAAAUGAGAUACGAUUUACCUACACACAAGAGGAUUUAUAAGACAAUAGAGAUUUGUCUAAGCACAAGAGAUCUUAUAAGAUGAGCAAUGAAUAAGAGGUGACUUUCCACUACACAAGAGGAUUUACAAGGCAAAAGAGCUCAACGGGUUCUCCUAAGCACGAGAGGUCUUAGAAGGAGAACAAUGAAUAUGAGAUAAGUUUCCAACACAAGAGAGGGUUUACAAGGCAAAAGAGCUCAAGAGAGUUGUCUAAGCACGAGAGGUCUUAUAAGACAAAUAAUGAUUGGGGGUUUGUCAAAGAACAAGAGGACUGAUAAGGAAAACAAUGAUUGAUUAGAGUAGGCCUAAGCACAAAGGGACUAACAAGGCUCAUAAUGAUUGAAUAUGGUUUGCCAAAGCACAAGAGGACUGAUAAUGCAAACAAUGAUUGUAUUGAUUGAUUUAGGAUUCAAAGACUACCAAGGAUAUUUGAAUAUCAAAGAGAUUAUGAUUGGUGAUCCAAAGAGGGAAGAGAAUGAUUGAUGUGCUAGCUUGAAGAAGACUUGUCAAUUAUAUGAUUCAAAUUGCACUAAAAUCUAUGAGCAAAGGUGAAUACCUUGAGCAACUGAGUCAUUCGUCCCAUACCUAAAGAUACCCUAUACAAGGAUAGGAAUUCUCCACUCUCAUUAUUCUUUGUUACUUAAGGCUCAUGGCUUAAAACUUGAAUCAGAAUUGACAAGUUGCUAAUAGGAGAUCUUGAUGAUUAAUCUUGAUGAUGCAAUGCUACUUAUUGUAGAAGAAGACUUGACAAUUAUUUUAUUUGAAUUGUGCUAAAAUCUAUGAAUAAAGGGGAAUAUGAUGAGCAACUGGGUCAUUUGUCCCGUACCCAAAGAUAUUCAAAAUGAGUUAAUGGAAUUAUCCACUCUCAUUUAUUCUCUAUUUCUUAAGGCUCGUGCCACACAAUCUGAAUUAUGAUUGACAAGUGUUGAUACCUUUGAUGUGCUUGAGAAGUAGUCCACUUUGUCAGUUAUGCUUGAUUGGUGUUGACUUUGAAGUCUUGAUCUUAGAUUUGAACCUUGAGGUCUUGAGCUUCUAAGAUCCAGCAUAUCGAAUAUAGCUUAAGCACAAUGGGAUUGCCGUAUUAAGUGAUCAAGAGUCUUUUGAUCCCUUGAAUAGGCUUGGGGAUUACAAUACAAUACAAAGGAUUUGGUUGACCAAAGUGACCUUUGGUCAACACUAAUAAUCAGUGGGAUUGAAAUUAUAGUUGAAACAAGUACACAACAAAUUUAAAGAUUAAUAGUCAAUUUACACCAGAUGAUCUUUAGCGGGCCCUAAAACUAGGGGGACAUGCAUCUCAAGAUUUUAAAAUCCUAAGUACCAAGGUUAAUUGCACAAUCAAGAUCUAGUUACAAAUAAACAACCCUAAUUAUCUAAUUAUAUUUUAAUCAAACUUAGAAUCUAAUUAUCACCAAACUAAUUCUAAAAUCCUAAGCAAAUUCUAAAAUCCUAAUCAACCUCUAAUUUAAUUAAGAUCUAAAACCUAAUUAAUCUAAUCAACUCUAGAAGUUUAACGAACCUAAAAUUCCAAAUCUUCCUAAUUAAGUUCUAUAUUUCUAAUCAAUCAUAGAAAUCUAAAAUUUCCAACGAACCUAAUAUUCUAAUCAACAUCUAAAUAAAAUAUAAAAUUCUAGUCUAAAUCUAAAAUCCUAAUUAACCUUAAAAUUAUAAAAUUCUAAAGAUUCUACUCCAAUUCUAAUUAAUCUAAAUAAAUUUAAAUAAAUUAAAUGAAUAAAUUAGGAAAGGGCCAGGGGUGUAGGCCAAAUGUGUCGGGGUAGAGUGGACAUAGGUAUGCAACCCGUUUGGGCCUUGGGCCAAAAUCGGGUCUAAGCUGCGAUGCAUUUGAGAAAAUUUUACCUUGUACCCCUACAAUUAGCCCCAUACCCCUAUAAAAUUUUAAAAAUUCCCAUUUUAUCCUUAAUUGGUUUUAACCAAUUUACCAUUUCAUUUUUACCAUUCAGUUGAAAAUUUCAGAAAUUACACUUUCACACCCCUCGCACCGGAACUCCUGCAAAAAGACUUCCGGUAUGUAUUUUUUCAAAUCGGAAGACUUUAGGAAUGACUUCCGGAACACACAAAAAAGCAAACCGGAACACUUCAUGAAAGAGUUCCGGUUCAAUUAAAAAAAAUUUACAAAUCCGGAACACUUCUUAAAAGAGUUCCGGUGAACAAAUUUUACAUACCGGAACUCUUUGGAGAAGUGUUCCGGUAUGUAUUAUGUGUGUUCCGGAAGUCUUUCUUUAAGUCUUCCGGUACGUUUUUUUUUUUUUUUUUAAUUUUUUUUUUGCAGAAAUGGAAAAUCUUCCCAAAAUAUGUGUAAAUACUACUGAUGCGUUUAUGACGACGGAAAGAUUUGGUACACGAGAAGAGGUUAUCAGAUGGAUUAAAGAGGUUGGAAUCGACAAUAAAGUAACUGUUAUUAUCAGUCGCUCCGAUACUGAAACGGGGAAGAGAGGGAGAAGUAACAAAAUAAUAUUUGGUUGUGAUAAAGGUGGGAAACACAAGAUUAGUGAUAGUGGUACCCAAAGUGCGUCCAAGAAAUGUGGAUGUCCAUUUAAAAUCAGGUCGACUUCGGCGAAAGAUGGAUCUGGUUGGAAGAUUGAUGUAAAAUGUGGGUUACAUAAUCAUGGUUUACCUGAUAGAUUAGAAGGUCAUUCGUUUAUUNNNNNNNNNNNNNNNNNNNNNNNNNNNNNNNNNNNNNNNNNNNNNNNNNNNNNNNNNNNNNNNNNNNNNNNNNNNNNNNNNNNNNNNNNNNNNNNNNNNNNNNNNNNNNNNNNNNNNNNNNNNNNNNNNNNNNNNNNNNNNNNNNNNNNNNNNNNNNNNNNNNNNNNNNNNNNNNNNNNNNNNNNNNNNNNNNNNNNNNNNNNNNNNNNNNNNNNNNNNNNNNNNNNNNNNNNNNNNNNNNNNNNNNNNNNNNNNNNNNNNNNNNNNNNNNNNNNNNNNNNNNNNNNNNNNNNNNNNNNNNNNNNNNNNNNNNNNNNNNNNNNNNNNNNNNNNNNNNNNNNNNNNNNNNNNNNNNNNNNNNNNNNNNNNNNNNNNNNNNNNNNNNNNNNNNNNNNNNNNNNNNNNNNNNNNNNNNNNNNNNNNNNNNNNNNNNNNNNNNNNNNNNNNNNNNNNNNNNNNNNNNNNNNNNNNNNNNNNNNNNNNNNNNNNNNNNNNNNNNNNNNNNNNNNNNNNNNNNNNNNNNNNNNNNNNNNNNNNNNNNNNNNNNNNNNNNNNNNNNNNNNNNNNNNNNNNNNNNNNNNNNNNNNNNNNNNNNNNNNNNNNNNNNNNNNNNNNNNNNNNNNNNNNNNNNNNNNNNNNNNNNNNNNNNNNNNNNNNNNNNNNNNNNNNNNNNNNNNNNNNNNNNNNNNNNNNNNNNNNNNNNNNNNNNNNNNNNNNNNNNNNNNNNNNNNNNNNNNNNNNNNNNNNNNNNNNNNNNNNNNNNNNNNNNNNNNNNNNNNNNNNNNNNNNNNNNNNNNNNNNNNNNNNNNNNNNNNNNNNNNCAUGGUCUCGCGACCAAAGAGAAUGGGAUCGGGAGUCGGUUAUGCGAAGGGAAGGUAUUAGCACCCCUACGCAUCCGUCGUACUCGACGGGAUCCACGCACAAAAGGAAGGAAAAUGGUUGCUAAACGCUGCUCAAAUAAACACACACUGGCUGAAAGAGACACAAGAAAACAAACGAGACUGACUCGGCAGGAUAUCGCAUCCUGGGCCUACUUAGUCUAUCAAGCAUAGACAUCAGAGUCGAAGUAGUUCGGACUGGGGCAAACACAUGCUCGCUAGGAUGUCGCAUCCUAUGCAUACGUAGCUUCUCGGACGAAGAAGAAUCAGAGCAUCCGUAGCUCGGCUCACGCACACCAAACAAAAUCACACAGGCAAGCGUGGAAUCCGAAUGCCAAUCGCUGGACUUACAUCAGACUCCGAACCAAACGCACCCACACUGGAACCCGAAUGCCAAUCGCUGGACUUAUAUCAGCUUCCAAGCACACAACCAGAGGAUACGGAAUGCCAAUCGCUGGGCUUACAUCCAUCUCCUGACACACACAAAGACAAAACAAAAAGGGCGCCCGGAGAGAUCAACUCAUCUCCUGCCUACGUACCUCAUCUGGUAUGAGGAUCAGGGCGACGUAGUUCCCCUACGCAGGGACAAAGGACUAGCCUAACAGAUAACAGAGGCGAGGACACCAUAAAGGAGACUACGACCGAGCCUAGAUGUUAUCAUGCAAAAUCAUCCCUAAGUCAAGGUUGCUAUUCUAACUUUGCACAAGGGAGGCAAGCUAUCCUAAAACACAAACACAAGCAUAGCAAAAGAGCAACAAUCACAGAUAGCAACACACUAUAAUACACAACCGCGCAGCACCAGUGGGGCUCAAGAUAAAGGGUAGGCUGCAAGAGCAAGCCAACUGUAUUGGGGUGAUGUUAGCUCUUAACCCUUAACGUUGAGAGUUAGGGUGGAAGCUAGAUGAAAAGGUGAUGAACGAAUGAGACUUUCACAGCUCUUAUCCCUGGCCUUGGAGAGCUCAGGACAAUGAAGUGUGGGUUCAGAAAGUGGGAAAAACCUUCUAACCUUUGAACACUGACUCCACUCUCAACUGUACAACUGUACAGGAUCUUGGUUAAUGUCCACAAUGCAUCAAUACAAGUGUGUGCGCAAGGGAUGACUCAACAGAAUAGCAGGAGAUAGAUUUGGGCAUAUCUCUUUUAAUUAUCUGCCAAUUGCCUUAUGUCAAGGGUCUUUAACCCCUGCUUGGGGGACAAAAAUAAACAGCACAAACAUUGCCUCUUAAGGAGGACUUCAGACAGGUGCUGACCAAGUAACAGGCAGGGUCUUCCAGACUACCAUGGAGAAGAGAUCAUUAAUACCCUCGAUGCUCAAGCUAGCAAGCAAAGCAAACAAUACACAAGUUCACAAGGAACCUAUGCAACUAAGGUACCUGAAAUCAAUCAACAUAAUCAGUCCAAAGACCCAGACAACUAAACAAGCAAACAAGACAAUUACUAGUCCACAGACGCAAAAAAACAGAUAACAGCAAUCAAUGCACAAAGGUUGCAAGCCACAGGCAAUAAGUACAAGUAUCAAAGCCUACCCAAAACAAACUCAAUUGUUUAGUCAUAAACAAGCUAACCACUCCAUUGAGUGCACAAUCAUCAAGUAUAGCCAAAUUGUGCUCUUUGACCUGAAACAAAGCUCAAACAUAAGCCUAACCCACUAGGACAUGGCCUAGGGUCAAAAUGGAGCAAUAAACCAAAACAGAAAUGAAAAACUUAUCCCAAAAUCCAGUUCAAUCAAUAAGAAACAAAUCCAAAGUGGUCUAAAGUUCAUAUCAUUCACAAAGAUCACUUUCAUGAGGCAAAGAGUACAAAAAGCAUGCCAUUUAGAAGCCUCAUAGGAGCAAAUAGAAAGAUCCAAUCCAAAUCAACUCACAAACAUUUCAAUAAAUCCCGCAAAAAUUCAUGUAUAACUGAACACAUCAAAGAUCAUCAUACCAAAAUUCAGGCGCCAUUUGAUAAGAGGAAGCAAGUCAAUUACAUUCCAAUAAGUCAAAGCAAGUUUUCCACGCUCAUUCAGGCACCACAUCAUGCAUAGCCACUUUCAGAAUUUGCAGAAUUGAAUUCCUGUAAUCCAGCUUGGAAGUGUGAAACAAGAAGCUCCUUGAUGGCUCAAGUUGAAUGAACUGGAAGAAGGAAUGUUGGCUCAAGUUGCUUUGGAUCCAGUCAAAUUCCACAUUGGCGCAUUGAUGGAGGCUCUAUGUAAACAGUGCCUUGAAAUAGCUUGGAAUCUUCGAAUCUUUGCUUGCAGAACCUUCAAUAUUUGUUGUUGGAUGAUGGCACAAAUGAAGAACUUAGGCAAGGUAAAUGGAAAGAAACUUGCCCAGAAAAUUCGACGAGCAAAAGUUGAGAGAUUGCACUUUUGGAUCUAGUAUCCUAGAUGAAUGAAUCUAAUCCAAUUUUCCUGUUAGGAAUUUAAGCUUUAUAUACCAUGGCUUAAUCAUUUCCUUAAUCCUAAUUAGCCAAAACCAAAGUGAUUAAGUGAAAUGCAUUUUAUGUGCAAUUGGCCAAAAUAACCUUCAUGUGCAUGAGAACUUUGCUACAGUGCAUGAAUUUCUGUCCAAACACCCUCCAAAUGUCAUUUUAGAUCAAAUUCAAAUGGUGGAAAAUAUGGAAAAUGCAUAGUUUUGAAAGUCACUUUUUUCCCUCCUUUUUUCAAAUUCAAACCAAGUGAAAAAUGCCAUUUUUGUGUGAUGAGUUUUGAUGAAAUGCAAUGGAUAUUUUGGAUAGAGCAUGUCAAAUGGAGAUUGUAGCAAGAAACCCCACUCAAUUUGGCUAAAUGGUGUGAAAGUUAUCCAAGUUUGAAGUUCAAAAAUUCUUGACAAUGAUUUGAUCAUAACUUGCCAACCACAAAUGAGAAAUGGAUGUUCUUAGACUUUUUGGAAAGGUGAGAGCAAGAUCUUCAACUUUUAUGUUGGACAAAAUUCCAUUUGAAGCUUGUAUGAUGAUGUAAAUUUGAGGAGAAGACCUUUCCAUUUUUGGCAGUUUGAAAUUACAGGUCACUUACUAUUUUUGGAAACUUUCCAUCUGAAAUUCUUCAAUCUUGAUCUCACUUUGCAAAUGUCAAUGAGAACUUUGUAGGACAUGAAUGAGCCUUCAAAACACCCAUACUCUCACCUUCAAAUCCAUGAUUUUCAGACAAGUUUGACCCACAGUUGAAUUGGCUAGGUUCAGAUGAAAUCAGCUUGACUGUUGAGCUUUGAUCAUCCAAUCCUUGGCCAAAUCACUCCAAAAUGAUCCCUAGAUCAUAUGAACUUAUUGAACCAACCCUAGGGCUUUGCUUCAAUAGGAAAUGCACUUGCUUGUUUGCUUGAUUGGAUCUCCUGACCAGUCUUGACUGAUGACUUGCACUUGGGCAAAUGGACAAUGCAAUGUUAUGCAGUGGACAAUGUUAAUGUUAUAACCUAACAUGAAAAUGUAUGUACCAAAAGGUAGGUGAAAAUUUGAGUUGCUACAGCUGCCCCUAUUCAAUCAACUGGGGACCCGAAUGGAUGAGAGCAACGACUAUCAGACUUUCAGGGUAAACAGGGAUUGAAUACCAAGAACCGUAGAAAUUUGGACAAUGCAGGGAUCCACCAACGGAAACGUCCACUGGGAUCUGAUAUUUAUUACUGGGGAUUUUGAUUUUUUCUUCCAAAGGUACAGGAACCAUAUCCCGACGUCAAAGGACGAUGAAUGGGAAUAGAGAUCACAACUAGACGCCAACGGACGACUAGGAAAAACUCAACGUUUACCAAGACCAACGGAGAGGUAACCAGACAUUAACAAAUGAACUGGGAAGAGAUACAACCAUACGUCAACGGACGUAAUGGGAAAAACUCAAUGUUUACCGAGACCAAUAGAGAGGUAACUCUACUGGGGACGACCAGGAAAAACUCGACGUUUACCAAGACCAACGGAGAGGUAACCAGACAUUAACGAAUGAACUAGGAAGACUCGACCAGACGUCAACGCACGAAAGGGAGAAGCUCGACGUUUAUCGACACCAACGGAGAAGGAGAAGACUCGACCAGACGUCAACGGACGAACGGGAGAAGCUCGACGUUUAUCGACACCAACGGAGAAGGAGAGACGUCAACGAGACGAACUGGGAGGCUCGACGUUUAUCGACCACAGGAGAAGGAGAUACUGGGGGAAAUACAAUAUCAACGGAUAACUAGGAAAAACUCGACGUUUAUCGACACCAACGGAGAGGAGAAGCCACUUCACUAAGGAAGGGGUGUAACAACCGGAAACUGAAUAGGACGUCCACUGACGACUCUACUAGGGAUUCUGGUUGGGAAGCAACCAGACAUCAACGAAUGAUUGGGGAAUAGGAUACACAAUCAGACGUCAACGGACGAAUGAGAAAAACUCAACGUUUACCGAGACCAACGGAGAGGUAACUCUGCAUGGGAAAAUAUAUCACCAACAACCGUCAACAGACGAUCGGGAAAAACUCGACGUUUAUCGAAACCAACGGAGAGGUAACUCUGGGGGGAAUCAACAACCAUUAACUAACGAUCUGUGGGGAAUAAGCAACUAUACGUCAUCGAACGCAUAGGAAAAACUCAACGUUUACCAAAACCAACGGAGAGGUAACCCCUAUUGGGGAUAAUGAACACAACCAAAUCAUCAACGGAUGAUCGGGAAAAACUCAACGUUUACCAAAACCAACGGAGAGGUGACACCUACUGGGGAGAGAGAACAAGACUCAACCAAACGUCAACGGACGAUUGGGAAAAACUCGACGUUUAUCGAAACCAACGGAGAGGUAGCUCACUGGGGAUCAAGGUCACGACAGGGAGCAGACAGGAAGGAACACCAAGGAUGCCGGGUUUCGGACGAUUGGGAAAAACUCGACGUUUAUCGAAACCAACGGAGAGGUAGCUCACUGGGGAUCAAGGUCACGACAGGGAGCAGACAGGAAGGAACACCAAGGAUGCCGGGUUGUAGGCAUAAAACAGGGGGCCGACCAAAGCGUGAAUUGGUUUGUGUUCCAAAACACUCAUCAUCCUGAAGAGGGCUAGAAAAGCAGUCUUGUUAAAGGAUGGACAUUCGAUCCCGAGCAAGGAAUACGAAUCUUACUCAGUUGGGGAAACGAACAAAAGGUUCAACCAAAGAGCGCAUGAGAUAUAUUAUCUAUAGCCGUCAAAACGUAGAUAAUACUCUCGCAUGGAAGAUUAUCCUAACCGGGUUGUAGGUUGUAAAAGGAUAAAUCGACCGACAAAGAAAGGCAUCAGGGUACCAGGACUAGGUAUGCAAAGAUGACCAAUCAAAAGGGGAAACCACAAACAUUACCAGCAAACGGUGAAUGAAAGAGGACCCACUGGGGAUAAAGUUGCUGACUUGGAGCAAAUAUCCGAAAGGAAGGGGAAGACCCGCUGGGGGUAAGAUUGCUUAAUCGAAGCAAACAUCCAAAAGGAGAAAGGAAUAUCAAUACCGAACUGGAUAAUGAUAACCAUAAAGAGGGGAUUACAUCUACCGGUUAGUAGGCAGAAAACCACGGAACAAUAACCGUCAUCACUAGGAUGAGCACAAGGGUUGACUCCACAAAGGGGAGAAAAGAGGAUUCACAUCUACCAGUUAGUAGGUAGAAGACCACAAAAAUAGGACUUACAACAGCUGGUUUGUAGGCAGAGGCCAUAAAUUCCGCUGAGGGUAAGAUGAAUGAGUGCCGGUUAGUGAGCAACUAUUCAUUUAUACCACAGGGAGGCACAGGAGACAGCCAAUAGGAAGCCAAUUCAGGAUCGAUCCAAAAAGGCAGAAUGAAUCAAGACUCAUCCUAAUGAGGAAAGAACUCAAUAGGGAAAACUUAUCCCAUUAUAUGUGGGGAGGGAACGAAAACAACCGUCAUCCACGAGGAUACAACUCGUGGGGAGCGCAGAAGGAAACGACAGACACUUUCUGCUUAAGGGGUCGACUCUAUAUGGAGAGAUCAGACACACCCACAUCUGCUAGGAGAACAAACCGAGCUUGCAAGAUGCUACCAAUUCUGGGGAGUAACACUGCUGGGGAUACCCGCUCACUUGCGGAGUCACUUGUUGGGAAAACACCUUUCUACCCUGCUGGGGAACCCAAUUCUGAAAUCAAUCCAAUGGCGAGAGGCUAAACUCUUUCCAACAACCCAAUCUCAGGUGAUCGCCACGGCCUUGGGCUAAUGGAUAUGUUUGCAAUGCAGAUGCAUGAGUUUUUUAGCGCAAUGCCCCAUGAUCAUGGAAAUGCCACGCACUAAUGAUGCAACAUGCUAUGCUUAUCUAAAUGAUGAAUGCAUAAAACACACGUCUCUUCCAGAGACAACACCGGGGAGCCCCAGGAACCUUGCUGAAGAUUUUCAAUCCCACGUCAAUUUCCACCCGGCUGGGGAAAGACAACCCUUGCUGGGGAUGAACUCCAUCGAACCCGAACUGCUUGGGAUUACCCUGCUAGGGGAGGCAACCAAUGCUUAUCUCUACUGGGGAUGAUUUCACCGAACCUGGUCCGCUUGGGGACCUUGCUGGGGGGAAAACCAUCAACAUAAACCCUCUGCUAUGGAGAUCCACUAGGGGAAAACACUCCACACCCUGAUGGGGAAAUUCAUAACUCUGUUGGGAAAGGCCUACACCACUCUGCUGAGGAAAUAAUACACUAGGCCUUACUGGGGAUAGACAUCCACAACCCUGCAGGGGACAAGCGUUUACAACCACGCUGGGGAUACGUCCUCAACCCUGAGAAACAAACCACCCACUGAUACUCCCACUGGGGGACAUGGCAACCUUCAAGCUCUCUGAGGAGACACCGAUCUCGAAUCGGCUAGAGAAAUAACACUUUCAGACCCACUUGGGAGAUACGGCCUAUUUAACACGAAACACCCUUCGAUUCGUCGAACACUGGCAUUCAUCAUCCAACCACAGUGUCGACUUUCCACUUUUGAGAACUCCCAGACUCAUCUGGACUUUUCUGAUUCAUCACCUUGUAUUCCCGACUCCUCCGUACUUCACGGAGAUCGAACUCUUGGGAUUCAUACAAACUUUCUGGUCCUCAGACUUUGAAGACUCUUCUUGAUUAAUCCCCCAGGAUCGUCGUCGUAAUCCUUCACCGUCCUUUCACUGUUCGUCUAUCCCUUGCCCCUGGUUGGACUCUGUGGGGAUCUUUUGUCAAAAUAUUCUAUAUCACAACCUUCGAGUGAGUGAAGAUAUCUAACAGUACCUACACAAGAGAUCGUCAGAUAAAAGCGUGCCCCAGGCGUGCCAACAUUUCAACACCUAGGUCACUCAAACUUCCGAAUAAGAUUUUCAAAUUCCAAUCUUAUAAGCAUGCAUCGGAAGGAAUCUCCAUGUUACAGAAUGCAAGUAUUCUUAUCAAAAAUAAACGGAUGUUUUCGCAAUCAUAGCGGUAAUAAAAACAAAAUUUAUUUGACUGAACACGCAUUUUAUUGACUGAGAAAGAUGGCUCAAAACCGAGCAACACACAGGAAGCAAUCCCUGAAAAGAGGUGAUCGCGCAUAAAAGGAAAAAUCUAUCCUAAUGGCAAUGUGAAAUCGUGAUCUCAUCGGGUUUCAACUCAGUUACACCUCAUAUGUCCUCAAGACCUUCCGCACUUUCUGUCUUCUGAAUAAGACGCUUCCGAUCGAUCUCUGUCGGAGAUUAGCCGAGUCAUAUCCAAAGCACAAACGAUCAUGCUGGACGCAGUUGUUCGUUUCAAUCCCUCUUUUGCCUGGACCGCCCUUUUGGGUUUUCAGUCCACCGGGAUACCCUUUUUUGCCCAAGUCGCCCUUGUGGGGGUUUUCGACUUGCCGGGUGCACAAAUUCUUUUCAUUUCUAUCCCUAACUUUUGCCCGAACCUUUUCUCCUUUUUUUUUCUUGGUUCGCCGGGAUGCCCUUUUUUGCCUGGACUCUUUUAUUCUUUUUGUCCAGCGGGUCUCUUUUCACGAAGUAUCUUUUAACUGCGUCCGCAUCUGCAGGGGAUGGAAAAUCCUCGCCGCUCAUGGUCGUCAGCAACAAGGCUUUGUCGGAGAAAACCUUCUUGACCAUGCUGGGGAUUCAUGAUUGGGUGUCCACUUGCCCCUACGAUCGUUGAGGAGGAAGGAUCCUUUUCAAUACCAGCUCUCCCACGUGGGAUGCACGAGGUCGCACUUUCGUUGAGGAGGAAGGAUCCUUUUCAAUACCAGCUCUCCCACGUGGGAUGCACGAGGUCGCACUUUUCGGUCAACAACACGCUUCAUUCACUGGGUACAACUGCCCCAUGACAAGUAACCGUCAGCCUUUUUCCUCAGUCAGGCUCCAUGCGUCAUACCGAGUCUUUACCCGCUCAGUCUUUUCCAAUUUUUCAUCCAUCAGGACUCUCCACAAUAGGAUCUAGACUUCCGCAAGUAAUAUUACUUCUAUCCCAUACACGAGCGAACGCGGCAUUGCCCCAGUAGACGUACGCACUGAAGAUCGAUACCCAGGAUCCAAGCUUCGUGCUCGGCCACCAUUGUUGGUGCAUUCACACGUUAUCCGGGCAACGAAAGGAAUGUGGGAUCUUUUUUCUGCGUAACCAACACGGCACUAACUCAUCCACAUUAACCUCUUCCCCAUCAGACAUCAGAAUCCGUUCGGAUUCAGGGUCAGGCCCCUCCUCCAGGAUCGGUUCCUCACAAUCUUUCGAUUUGAGCACCUCGAGAUGUCUUCAUCAGGGAACUCAGACUUCCUUGGUUGAUAAUCCUCAAUGGGUCGCCGGGCGAUGUAAACAGACAAUACAACCCCCUUGAUUUCUUUCCGAGAGGUAUACUGAAUAUUGUAUUCAGCCAACAUCAUUUGCCCUCUCACAACCCGUCCGGUCAAUACUAGCUUCUUCAAGCACAUACUUGAUUAGAUCCAUCUUAGAAAUCCACAAAGUGGUAUGAACCAGCAUAUACUGUCUCAGUCGGUGAGCAGCCUAUGCCAAAGUACAGCAAGUUUUCUCGAGCAGUGAGUGUAUUGUUUCACAGUCGACAAACUUUUUGCUUAGGUAAAUUGCAUGCUCUUUUCGACAAGCCUCGUCAUGCUGACCCAAUACACACCUCAUAGACCCCUCGAGGGCUAUCAAUAACAGAAUCUUUACCAGAGUCAUCAUAAUCAGAGGUUCCUGCAACUUAUUUUUCAAUGCCCCUUGGCAACCAAUAUCCACCUGACCGUUUGUUCUCCUUUUUUCGGUUCGGUUCAGGCAUUUCUUGUAUUGUUUUUUCUUUUUUCUUUUCUUUUUUUUCUUUUCUCUCUUUUCUCUUUUUUUUUUGCAGGAUCGACCUCAAUUCCUCUUUCGUCCAUAAUAAGCCUCGACAACUUACCGGACAGCACUCCACAAGUGCACUGAUUCGGACUCAACCUCAGUCUGAGUUGUCUCAACCCGGUCAAACAACUUGCCCCGUAUCCGCCAGAUGCCCUUUUUCUGCUUGGGACUUUGCUAUCAUGUCAUCAACAUAGCAUUUGAUUCCACGAUGAAUCAUAUCAUGAAACAAAGUCACUCUGACACGUGGCAUCGGUGUUCUGCUUCACUAGAGGACAGUCUUCUCUCCAUUGUAGCUCGUGCACAACGACAUCGGUAUCCGACCCUGGCAUAUCCCGACACGACCAGGCGAAGGUAUCCACAUGCUCUUUCAACAGUGCUACCAUUCUGCUCUUGACAUUUGCCUCUGAAGCGGCUCCAACUUUCACUUCCUUUCCGACCUCGGCGGUGUUUGGAAUAACAAUCUUGAAUCGCUCCUCGUGCGGUUGAAUCACCUUCUCCUCUUGUUUCAAUAACCUGGCUAGUCCCAGCAGAUCACAAUCUUCUUCGCCUUAUUCUUCGGCAUGAUAGAUCGGAUUGUCGAAGUCAUACAGAGGUGUAACCGAAUUGUUAUCAAUGAGAUCAGGAGAAUAACCACUUUUGAGGUUCGAACAGACGAAUCAAAAAGGAAAGAAAUGAAAACAAACAUUGCCAUUUUUAUUUUUUAACUGCAAAAAUAUUGAAAACAUGGAGGGGCACGCCUUCU